rnacentral:misc_RNA from 1 species
CACCAAUCACGCCUGGCGUGGUAUUGGGCGACGGGGCCGUCACACGCCCCGCGCCCCAAAGACCUUCCGGCGGGACGGACCGAAUCUCAGCGUUGUGCAAACGAGUCGCUGGCGAGACGGGACGGCCAGGCCGUUAAACCCCCAUUCUUUUAA